rnacentral:rRNA from 1 species
AGCGAACGCUGGCGGCAGGCCUAACACAUGCAAGUCGAACGAACCUUUCGGGGUUAGUGGCGGACGGGUGAGUAACACGUGGGAACGUGCCUUUAGGUUCGGAAUAACUCAGGGAAACUUGUGCUAAUACCGAAUGUGCCCUUCGGGGGAAAGAUUAAUCGCCUUUAGAGCGGCCCGCGUCUGAUUAGCUAGUUGGUUGAGGUAAUGGCUCACCAAGGCGACGAUCAGUAGCUGGUCUGAGAGGAUGAUCAGCCACAUUGGGACUGAGACACGGCCCAAACUCCUACGGGAGGCAGCAGUGGGGAAUCUUGCGCAAUGGGCGAAAGCCUGACGCAGCCAUGCCGCGUGAAUGUUGAAGGUCUUAGGAUUGUAAAAUUCUUUCACCGGGGACGAUAAUGACGGUACCCGGAGAAGAAGCCCCGGCUAACUUCGUG